rfam:Agrobacterium sp. DSM 25559 isolate DSM25559 genome assembly, contig: DSM25559_contig19
AGUCAAGAGUCUUUGGCAUCGUUUUGGUGAGCAAUUUUCCUUUGCCUAUUAGAGGGUGAAAGAAAUG